GACGAACGCUGGCGGCGUGCUUAACACAUGCAAGUCGAACGGAAAGGCCCUGCCUUUGUGGGGUGCUCGAGUGGCGAACGGGUGAGUAACACGUGAGUAACCUGCCCUUGACUUUGGGAUAACUUCAGGAAACUGGGGCUAAUACCGGAUAGGAGCUCCUGCUGCAUGGUGGGGGUUGGAAAGUUUCGGCGGUUGGGGAUGGACUCGCGGCUUAUCAGCUUGUUGGUGGGGUAGUGGCUUACCAAGGCUUUGACGGGUAGCCGGCCUGAGAGGGUGACCGGCCACAUUGGGACUGAGAUACGGCCCAGACUCCUACGGGAGGCAGCAGUGGGGAAUAUUGCACAAUGGGCGGAAGCCUGAUGCAGCAACGCCGCGGGCGGGAUGACGGCCUUCGGGCUGUAAACCGCUUUCGCCUGUGACGAAGCGUGAGUGACGGUAAUGGGUAAAGAAGCACCGGCUAACUACGUG
rnacentral:rRNA from 1 species